rnacentral:rRNA from 1 species
UACAGAGGUCCCGAGCGUUGUUCGGAUUCACUGGGCGUAAAGGGUGCGCAGGUGGUUUGGCAAGUUUGAUGUGAAAGCCCCGGGCUUAACCCGGGAAUGGCAUUGAAUACUGCUUGAACUGGAGGGUUGGAGGGGGGACUGGAAUUCUUGGUGUAGCAGUGAAAUGCGUAGAUAUCAAGAGGAACACCAGUGGCGAAGGCGAGUCCCUGGACAAACCCUGACACUGAGGCACGAAAGCGUGGGGAGCAAACAGG